GCACCGGCGAUGUAAAGCGAACAUCGCUGCCCGGAAAGCAGAAGAUGUGGGUUCGAGUCCCGCCUGGCGCA
rnacentral:tRNA from 1 species